UAUAUUAAAGUGUAAGUAAAUUUGGCACAGAAACAUUUGAAUUUUCGGGAAAUAGUUAAAUUCUAUUUAAUAUAA
rnacentral:tRNA from 1 species